AUUGAAGAGGAGAAUACUUAUCCAGUGAAUUUUUAGAUCAUCUUAAAGAAAAAAAAUUUUCUCAGAGUGGACCCCUCCUUAUACACCACAGUUGAAUGGUGUAGUAGAAAGGAAGAAUCGUACUUUAUUAGAUAUGGUGCAGUCUAUGAUGUACUUUAUAGACUUGUCUAUUUUUUCUGAGGAUAUGCUCUAGAGACUGCUGCCUAUAUCCUGAGUAG
rnacentral:lncRNA from 1 species